rnacentral:lncRNA from 1 species
GCGGGGCGCGCGCCACCCGCGGGGCGACCGCGCGGGGCCGGGGCCGGGACGCGGCCGGGUGCACGCCGCCCUGCCCGCCGCUGCCGGGACAAUGGCGGGGUCCUCGGUGGCAUCCUCGGCGGCCCCGGGCUCGGGUCCCCGCGCGGCAGGGCCAGGGCCGGGCGCACGCUUGGGCGCAGGGACUCAGCCUCCACGCGCGAGCGUCCCCACCGGGCCCGCGAUGGCGCGACAUCGCCACCAACUUUCCCGGCUCCCGCGGCCCGGCUCCGCCGCGGGCUCCUUAAGGUGGCACAGGGCUGCCCGGGCUCCGGGGCGCACUCCUUCCCCGCCGCCGCGCCCGCGCGCCAGUCCUCCUUAAGAGCGAGCACGUGGGCAGGGGCCGCGGCCCCGCGACUGCCCCGGGCGUCGGCGGACACGCGCCGCGGCGGCCGUGGGCGAGUCCGUGUGGAUGCUCCCCGCCGGCCCGAGGCGCCUCCAUCCCGCCCGCACACCUUGGCGCCUCCCAGUCUCCGGACCCCAGGGACGCCCACGGCUAGCCGCCUGCGCGCUGGUCCCCCUUAAGAAGCGCUGACUGUACGGCGGCGCCAGAGGGCCAAACUCGAUUAGAUUUCGGGAAACGCGCUCAGGGCCAAGCUGGAAACCUGGGAUCCGCGCGCGGACCACGAAGAGCCGCGUCGCCAACAGCACCAGGUACCCUGUGCCACUCGCUAGAACGACCCCGGCGCACCCGAGGGGCGCCGUACCCGCGGCUUGGGAGGCGUCGGAGCCUCAGGAAGAAGAGGGGUCCCGGGAAGGAACCCGGCUCCGGACCCCAGGGAAGUCCGCGCCGGACCGCCCCCCCCCCCCGCCUCAAGGAGCGCGCGCGAGCCAGGAGGCGAUCGAAGCCCGGCGGAGGACGAGGAAGCUGGCCGGAAGGGCCCCAGGCCGUAGGGUAGGGGCCCCUGGGGUCUGGGCCGGACUCCUCCGGUUCUCCUCCCAAACUGCGCCGCCCCCGCCCCCACUCCGCCGUCUGGGCGCGGGAGGCCGUGGACCGCGCACCUGGCCGCGCACCACACCCCGGGCCGCCCGGACCCCGCCGCAGGCGCCGUCUGAAAACUUCUUAAAGCCUGUGCUCCGCAGAAACGAGAAGGGGAGCCGCCCGCCGCGGCACUGCGUGUCCUCAGCCUCCGCCGGCCUCGCGAGGCCGGGUCCUCACCUCGCCCACUCGGAUCCAAGGCCGGGACCGCGAGGGUCGCUGCUGAUCGCGCGCACUGCUUCUGGGCGUGCAGAGCGCCCGCCAGCAUCUAUCCUGUUUGAUUCGUCACUAUUAUUAUAUCUGAUGAUGCGAAGGCUGGAACGCUCAACCCGAAGUCAUUAAUGAGCUAUUUUAUCAACACCGCUGUGGGGAUCUUCAUUUACAUUCGCCCAGGAUCGCGGCGCUCACCUCCCGGCUCUCGUCAACAGCGCGGGUGCGGGACUUCGUCCGUCAGCGCUCUUACAACACCAUGGGCGCACUGUUAAUCGCUUAAUACUUUAUAAAGUGUAAAUAUUUUAUUAUGUUUUUAAGAGAACUAUCGAUUCUAAAUUAUUAAACCCCUGAGAAGGGUUAUUUAAAUAAAGUACGCAGUUAUGUACAAUUAAAUGUACACUGUGGCUAGAGUCUGCACUCUUAAAUCUAUCGACUUCCCUGGUCCGUUUUCGACAGUAAAAAACAUCUACCAUUCUGGGCAAAGGGCGAAAAUUAGUUUACAUUACAUUUUAAAGCCUCUUCCUUUCUCUGUGGCCUGCACUCCUAACUCAACUCGUAAUGACCACGUUGCUUGAUUUCUCCCUGUGGACACUGAGGUUUCAUGGCCCUGGCUCUGCACCCGGUGGACACUGUCUCGGAUGCCUGCCCAGGACCUCGAAGGACUGGCGUGGGAUCGAAGGGCCCAGCACGGACACCCGGCCUGGGAAGGCCCAGCGAAUCCCCAGCUCCACAGCUCCCAGUGCUGUCACCGCCUGCUGCCUGCCAACAGCCCCGCCUGCCAGCUCGGCCAUCUCUGCACUUUGUCACCGAGUCAGAGUAUUUGACAUCCGCAAUUAUCUGCAAAUGCCCC